rnacentral:pre_miRNA from 1 species
GCCCUUUGGGGUGAGGUAGUAGGUUGUUUAGUUGUGGGUUGCACCCUGACGUUUGGAUAACUAUACAAUCUACUGUCUUUCCUGAAGUGGCUG